rnacentral:rRNA from 1 species
AUGAUACUGGUUAGGGGUUCUCUUUACUGGUUGCUCAGUGGGGGUUCGGGUGGGAUCCUUGAAUUUGAGAUGGAUAGGCAAAGACUAAUUGUGAUACCUAUGCCAGUAAAUGACCUCAGGUUUUUCCAAUUGUCGCUGAUACGGGCAGAUGGCCUUGGAAUUGGUCUCCUCAAUUUAUCAGGCUUCAGUGCCCAAUUUUGGAAGACAAGGACCAAUUGUGAUGGUGUUGCUUCAUGGGUGUUGGGAAGAACCAUUGAAAUUGACCAGCUACUUCACUUGGAAGCAGAGGAGAUGGGGACUCAAAUGAUACUAGGGUUUGCUGAGGACAAUAAUGUGGUUCUCUUGUGGACAAUUGAUGGUCUUGUCAUGUUACAGCUUGAGUCGGUACAGUUUGAGAAAGUCUUGGGAACCAACAUCAUCGCUUACAAUCACUCAUUCGAAAGUGUCUAUACUGCAGAAACAGGCAUUGGUGGUGGACAUGAUGGAGCUGAUCUUUUGCACAGGACAUAA